UUAGUGGGUUGAGAAAACGAACAGUGUGCAGAGCUGUAAUCUAGACAUUUAUAAAAUGUGGGAAAUAGUUAGAAUGAUGAAUAAGUAGGUGUGUCCAACUUUGACCGGUUGUGUAGUUUGAGGAAACUAGUUCAAGUUAUUGCACUCAGGCACUUUCUCAGUCGUCUACACCGGGUCCUUCGCUCCUCCCAUAGUGUGUCCACGUGGAGCUCAUGCGCUCUUAAAGCGGUAGACGGGUUCGUUGUACAGCAUAUGGGUGAGCAGCGUGGACGGUCACAGACACCUGGGUGUAUGGUCACAGAAGAGUGGUUCUUUCCAGCGGCUGUAAAUUACCCAGCAUUCAAGGACUAGAGAUGCUGUUUUCUGUAUGUGUGAAUAUGCAUGACAUACUUUUAUAAAUAAAACCUUCUGGUUAACUGUCUGUCUUUUGUAU
ensembl:lncRNA